rnacentral:rRNA from 1 species
UGGGGAAUAUUGGACAAUGGGCGAAAGCCUGAUCCAGCAAUGCCGCGUGCAGGAAGAAGGCCUUCGGGUUGUAAACUGCUUUUGUACGGAACGAAAAGGCUCUUUCUAAUAAAGAGGGCCCAUGACGGUACCGUAAGAAUAAGCACCGGCUAACUACGUGCCAGCAGCCGCGGUAAUACGUAGGGUGCGAGCGUUAAUCGGAAUUACUGGGCGUAAAGCGUGCGCAGGCGGUUCUAUAAGACAGAUGUGAAAUCCCCGGGCUCAACCUGGGAAUGGCAUUUGUGACUGUAGAGCUAGAGUACGGUAGAGGGGGAUGGAAUUCCGCGUGUAGCAGUGAAAUGCGUAGAUAUGCGGAGGAACACCGAUGGCGAAGGCAAUCCCCUGGACCUGUACUGACGCUCAUGCACGAAAGCGUGGGGAGCAAACAGGAUUAGAUACCCAAGUAGUCCCUGAGCGGGCUGGCAAGGCG